AUUGAACGCUGGCGGCAGGCCUAACACAUGCAAGUCGAAGGUAGUGGCGAACGGGUGAGUAUUACGUGAGUAACCUGCCCUCUACUGUGGGAUAAGCCUGGGAAACUGGGUCUAAUACUGCAUAGUUGGGGAUGGGCUAUCGGCCUAUCUGCUUGUUGGUGGGGUGAUGGUCUACCAAGGCGGUGACGGGUAGCCGGCCUGCGAGGGUGGUUGGCAAGAUUGGGACUGAGAUGCGGCCCAGACUCCUACGGGAGGCAGCAGGGGGGGAUAUUGCACAAGGGGCGCAAGCCUGAUGCAGCGACGCCGCGUGAGGGAUGAAGGCUUUCGGGUUGUAAACCUCUUUCGGUACAGAACGGGUAUGUGCAGAAGAUGCGCCGGCGAACUACGUGCCAGCAGCCGCGGUAAUUC
rnacentral:rRNA from 1 species